GACGAACCGUCCAAACGUUAUUCGGAAUCACUGGGCUUACAGAGUUCGUAGGCGGUCUGGAAAGUUGGGUGUGAAAUCCCACGGCUUAACUGUGGAACUGCUUGGUAUACUGGUCGUCUUGAGCCACUUAGGGGCUACCGGAACAGAUGGUGGAGCGGUGAAAUGCGUAGAUAUCAUCUGGAACGCCAAUGGUGAAAACAGGUAGCUGGGAGUGUGCUGACGCUGAGACACGAAGGCCAGGGGAGCGAACGGG
rnacentral:rRNA from 1 species